UGUGGUUCUAUGAUAAGUGUUUCAGAUGAUUCAGAGAAGUAAGAUUCUGUCUACAGUUGUUAAAAUCUGCUUAAGUAUCCAUAGCCUUAGUUGCUGACAUUUUAAAGUACCAUUCUGCUUAUUCACUUCGCUAUACUAUUUUUAUUUUAUUAUGAGAAAAGUGUUUGUAGUAAUACAAACUUAUUAGUUUUAAUUUACUAAAGAAUUUUGUCUCAUUUAUGAUACCAUUCUAACUAUGAAAUUUCCCACAGAAAAAAAGGAUUUGCCCUUUCUUCUUUCUAAACUUUAGAGAAAGGAAGACUGUAUUCUUGGGGCUCAAAAGUUUUCAUUGGGAUAACUGGAACAAAACAAGGAGACUUUAUGAACUUCUACUAAGCACCUAGGCUUAGUAGAGAAUGGAGAAUUUACAGACUGCAUUCUUCACGUGCACGUUGAAAUGGUUUGUGUUUAGUAGUCAGCAGUUAUAUGUACAGUAUAUCAGUCACACAGACAGGUCUCUGACUCUGUCUGCAGUAUAUAUAAAUGAUGUAAUUCUUUCUUGAGGAGAGGAACAAAGACAUCUAAUAAUGUGGCCAUUUGUGUUUUGUGUUUAUCAGUCUUACAAAUGUAACACUGGCAAAGGACAGGACUAAGAACUCAAACAUGCUGCUUAGGUUGUACCUUUCCCAGGCAAUUGACUGUAUUCUGGUUUGCUUUGCUUUGUUUUUUUCUCUCACACUCGGUGUUGUUUUUUCCUUCUUUUUAAAGCAACACCUGUUUCUCUCGCCAAGAUAAUGAAGUAUUAAUGAGCUGAUCUGAGAAACUCUGUAAAAUACAAACGAUACUAACCCAGAGGACAGUGCCUCUUACUGAAGUUGCAUUCUCCCCUUUGCACAGAGUGUGCUGCUGGUUCAGGUUUGUUGAUCUUCCUAAUUACCUCAGAACUUUCAAACUAAUGAUUUUGGCGUCUCCUCCCAGUGCCGUGGAAGUGGUGCAAGGAGGGGCGAUGCGGUAACCCUACACCUGUUGCAGCACACGCCUAUCGACUCGCACAACUUCCCAGGCAAGUGCUGAGCUAGCCAUGAGAACAUCUGAGAUUGCUCGGCUCUGUAACCACUAGGCUCAAUCCUUCUGGAUGGUCAGCUUGGCUUUACGCUGCGGUGGCUGUAAAAGUUAAUGCUCUAAAAUGGCAGUUGAUGACAGCAGCUUGUACUCCAGGACUAGGAGUAAACUGAGUUCUCGUCAGAAUCAUCAUAAAUCAGCAAGACGGAGUAGUUUGCCACCAGACAUCUUGCUCGAAAAUGACUUUAAAGGCAAGUUUCAAAGAAAUAUUAAAAAUAUAGAGCCUAUACAUCCAAGGCGCUCCAAGAAAAGACCUUCUAUUUUUUCAGUGAAAAUAUUGUCGCAAUUAGAAGUCUUGAGGCACUCUAUCAAAGCAUUUCUGGAGUUCAGACCAGCAUACAGUCUAGCAAAGUCACUUUCUAAAAUAACACCCAAAUGAAGUUUCUGCUCCAACCUGAGAGAUAUGAGGAGAAUGUGGGGAGAAAAAAGAAGACGGGAGGAAUUUUCACCUUUUCUGUCAGUAGCAGUAUGUUAGAUUACGUUAAAUCAGACGUGAAAACACACCCGGAGUCAAAUCUGUGGUAUUAUUGGAAGAGGAAGAAGUAUUUUCAUACUCUUGGGGAAGUUCUAGCUUUGUCGUGAGUUCUGUCAGCACUGAUGCUCUGCUUUCAAUUCACUGAAUUAAUCAGGAGCUAGUGAUGACCUCCCUCGAUUUGUGGGAGGGUUCAGGCCAGGUCCUGUGUUGACGACCUGCAUGAAACAGCAGAUACCGUGUCACCAAGUGCUGCUGCUCCAGGGAAGCUCACAUUCCUCCCCAAGGAGCACGGCCAGGGCUCUUUGCCCCUGCACCCCCAUGCAAGGCUUCAGGGUGGACGGAUCACCACAGGCUUUUUGGGAUCGACAUCCUCUUUUAAACUUAGACUGGUGUAAAAUCUAACUUGUCAUUCUCCAGAUCUACACAUUGUAUUCACACGCUUUCAUAACUGUUUUGUGUUAGUGGAUAGUUUUCAGUUAUAUGCCAUUUAUCUUGGGUUUCAUGAAAUGAAAAGGAAGGAACCCAUAUUCUCUUCCAAUCCAUCAAAAAAAAAAA